AUGUAUAAAUUCACUGAACGGAAUGGUCGCCUUCAUAGCUUGACCACAUUUGUUCUGACAUGCAUGUUGUGCAGCCAUGGUGCUUCUCCUAUCAAGAAAAUAGUUACAGUUUUGAGAUGCUCUUUGUCAGGAAAAUUCAAUUAUUAUUCAUGUCAAAAUCUCAUUUGGGACAGCAUGUCAAAAACCUUAAAGCUGAACCAAAAGUGCAAUUCUAUACUUGGCUGUCAAUCUAAAACCGUAACUGGACUGCAGAUAGACGUAAAAACAGAUGGCCCCAUGAUGGCAACUGCGUCCUCUGUGAUCAGUCCAGUCGAAACGGCUGCCCAUCUCACACACUACAUUGCCCUUUUGCCAAAGAGGUGUGAAAGCGGAAUCAUCUUUCUGACCCCGGUUACUCCAUGUCCAACAUUGCGUUGCAGGCCAUGCACAUCCGUGAAGAAAUGGUGA
rnacentral:rRNA from 1 species